rnacentral:rRNA from 1 species
AGAGUUUGAUCAUGGCUCAGGACUAACGCUGACGGCGUGCCUAAUCUAUGCAAGUCUUUGGUACUUGUACCAAGGCAGACGAGUGAGUAACACGUAGGAACCAACCCCUGACUUGACCAUAACCUGGGGAAACCCGGACUAAUAGUCAAUAAUCUCUUUGGGUAGUACCAAAUGAGAAAAGCUUCGGCGGUGAGGGACGGGCCUGCGUCCUAUCAGCUAGUUGGUAAGGUAAAAGCUUACCAAGGCAAUGACGGGUAGGGGGCGUGAGAGCGUGGCCCCCCACGAUGGCACUGAGAUACGGGCCAUACAUCUACGGAUGGCAGCAAGUAGGAAUAUUGCGCAAUGGACGAAAGUCUGACGCAGCGACGCCGUGUGUGGGAUGAAUGCCUUCGGGUUGUAAACCAACAUUGAAAAGGGGCGGCUAACUUCGUGCCAGCAGCGGUAAUACGGAGGCCCCAAGCGUUGUCCGGUUUUAUUGGGCGUAAAGAGUUCUGUAGGCGGUAAAUUAAGUUACGGGUUAAAUCCUCCGGCUCAACCGGAGUACAGCUCGUAAUACUAUUUUACUAGAGAUAGACAGGGGAGGGUGGAAUUCAUGGUGUAGCGGUGGAAUGCGUUGAUAUCAUGAGGAACACCGAAGGCGUAGGCAACCCUCUGGGUCUAUUCUGACGCUGAGAGACGAAAGCGUGGGGAGCAAAACGGAUUAGAUACCCGUGUAGUCCACGCUGUAAACGAUGUCCACUCGGUCCGUGUUUCUGCUAUAUGCGGGAAUACGAGCCUCAGCUAACGCAAUAAGUGGACCGCCUGAGAAGUACGGCCGCAAGGCUAAAACUCAAAGGAAUUGGCGGGGACCCGCACAAGCGGUGGAGCGCCUGCUUUAAUUCGAUGUUAAGCGAAGAACCUUACCGAGGUUUGACAUGCUCCUGCAUCCUUAUGGAAACAUAGGGGGUCUUUCGAAGGUGGAGCACAGGUAUUGCAUGGCUGUUGUCAGCUCGUGUCGUGAGAUGUACCGUUCAGUCGGGCAACGAGCGCAACCCUUACUGUUAGUUGUAUCACUCUAGCGGAACUGCCCGGGCAACCGGGAGGAAGGUGAGGAAGACAACAAGUCGGCAUGGUCCUUAUACCUCGGGCAAGACAGGCGCUACAAUGGCCGGUACAAUGGGUUGCUACAUAGUAAUAUGAUGCUAAUCUCUAUAAAACCGGUCUCAGUUCGAAUUGAGGGCUGAAAUUCGCCCUCAUGAAGUUGGAAUCGCUAGUAAUCGCUGGUCAGCUAUACAGCGGUGAAUACGUUCUCGGGUCUUGCACACACUGCCCGUCAGGCCAGCAGAGUUGGGAAUACCUGAUGUCCUCGUUUUAACGGGGCCUAAGGUAGGCUCAGCGAUGAGGGUUAAGUCGUAACAAGGUA